AAUGCCAUGGACAUUUUUGUAACUUGCUCCGUACAAAUUUGUAACUGAGCUCUGGACUUCUGUACGCGUAACUUGCCAGUUACAAAAUUGUCCAAUUUUAUGGACAACUGUACGUGUGAAGCCAAUGGACAAAUUUGUGGUCAGCAAUGGACAAAAUUGUAACUGAUUAGAGCACAAUUUGGGACUUUGGAUUGCACCCCUAACGUCCAUACCCUGGGGACAAUUUGUCUGUAACCCUGGUUACUUUUCUUUGCGGAAAAUAAUUCAGCGGCUUCCGAAAGGAAAAUGGCAUAUAUUACUGCGAAAAAGGUCCCCAUAAUCAAAAACAUUUGGGUCCAAAGGAAUAUGGUGGCCAUAUAUAUUCAAGCAGCAGGCUACAAUAAUAACAUUAUUUACCAUGAUUGUGUACAUAAAUGGAGUUGUUAAAAGAUUGAUUUUGAACUGUCAUGGCCCGUUAAAAACAGUUGGGUGACUGUUCAAGCAUACACUGCUAAAAGCAAAGGUUUAUACAGUAAGCCUAAACAUAUUUUGGAUAGACACUUAUUGUUAACAUACCUUGACAAGAGUUAAAUAGGCUGAUAAUUAGGAUAUUUUCCUUUUUCUGUUGUAUCAGGCAGAUGAUUGUGUAUCUCUUCUAUUUAAAACUACACAGUUUUGAUCACUACUCAACCAUACAGAAAAGGGUUAGGGAUGGACUUCUUGCCAUCUCAAACAAUCGGUUAUAAACUGUCUUGCUCGGACUACGCCAUGAUCCCGUCAACUGCAUUCUUUUGCCGAGUCACAAAUUACUACGGAACGAAUGUCAACAAUCCAAUUUCACUUGGAAGACGAUGAAAUAUUUAUAAUUAUUUUUUGUACAAAUAAACAACAACUGACAACUUAAAACAACGACGAACUGCGUUGUUCGCAGACAGCACAGCUGAGUGUCAUCUGUGCAUCUGCCAUUACCUCCUCGACCUCCUCUUUCCCCUCUCCCCUCCACUUCUGCUGGACAGUUGUUUUUGUUGUGCCAAGCAUGAGAUAGACGUUGAAAAAAGUUCGCCUUUCUUCGUCUAGCUGACUUGCCCGUUGUAUUUAGCCUCUUAAAAUUGAUAUGAAAACCACACCUUCUUAGCGUAUCUGGUUUCUGCUUGGUUCGUGCAGCUACUUCGUAUAUUUUUUUUCUCCAGGUAUGUAUGGGGGCUGCACUUUGUCAUCAAUAGAUAUCCUCAGCUCUGCCAAUGCCGACAGAAGUUUGUUCACGAGCUUUUUGCAGUUUCAGGACUAGUGAGGCCAUGUUGCACUAGGUCUGGUCUUCACCUUAUGACGUAUUUACCUGCUUUCUGGCCUGAAGGAACCCUUUACAAAGAAGCAAAAGGUGGUGGACUUUUAUCUGAUGCCACUUGAAACUAUCACUUUAAGCCAGCUGAACCAGAACUGCAUCUGUACUGUAUAGCUACACUUGCCAAUUUCAAAUCAAUAUAAUUUGCAAUUUUGUACCUGUGUGCUAAUUGAACAUUACUGAAUUCCAAAAUGUCAUAAGUUAAGUACCACUGUUGCCAAAUAUUUUUUAAACAGAAGGCUACUUAGUUUUCUUAACUUUCAAAAUGAACUGCAUGUUUGGAUCGAUUUAGUUUCCACAAUAAAAGACCAAUGUAGAGGA